CCCUGGCCACCUCCAGCGCCAGACCUCCUGCCGCCUCCAGUGCCCACCUCCAGAACCCUCCUCCAGCAACUGAUCUCCAGCACCCGGCCGUUUGGGAGGCAGGCAGAGCUCUCACUGCCAUCCUCACUGUGCCGCCGCAUAGCAGCAGCAGUAAAAAUUUGCCAGCCAUGAGGCUUUCCCAGAAAGGAACCCUCGCAGUUGGCGAAGGACAACUGUAUUCUUUUAUUUAAAGUGUUGUUUUCUGAACUGAAUAUCUGAUAUAAUAGAGAAGUGUUCGAGUCUUGCCCUCUGCAGCAACUGAGAAUAAGAGGAAGAAGCAGAGCUUGAGGAAUAUGAAAGCUGCACCAGGCAUGGAAUUGUCAAGGCCCUCCUUCCUGCUGCAUCUCCGAUGUGUGCUACUGCUGCCCCCUGGAGGCUGCCCUAUGAAGAGAAUCAGCUUGGAUAUUAUUAGCAGGAACACUGAAGGAGAUACCUGUUUUCUAGACUGGUCUAUGUGAAUGCAUGGGGAUAUUCAGGUGAAUAUUCAGUGAAUCCAGGGGGAUAUUUAUUCAGGACACAUCCCUAGAUAUCUGACAGCUUUGCUUUGUACUGUUACACAGAAGGUGAUACCUGAACAGACGGUACCAUUUCUCCCCUUCCAUUUUGCAGCAAAUCGGAGCUUUGUUCUGUACAUAUGAAGCUCCUUUAUAUCAGGUCAGACUAUUGGUUCAUGUGGCCUCAUAGUUUUGUCCACUUCAGCUGCCAAAAGCUCUCCAGGGUCUCUGUCAGAGAUCUUUCCCAGCCCAGCUACCUCUUUACCUUUUAACUAGAGAUUUCAAAGAUCAACCUGAGUCAUGCAAAGGAUGUUCUUUGUCACUGAGUUCUGUGGCCCAUUCUUUUUCAGAUGUGAUUUCUGAAAAACACUUAAGAAAGUCCCUGUUGAAAAACUGGGUUAUAUAUUUUAUGAUGUUCACAAUCAGUCUGGAGUUUCACAGCUUCACGGUCACAGGCCAGCUGUCUCAUGGAUGCCUAGAUUUGAGCCUUAGUCUUGAAUUGUCUCUCAACAAAUUCUGCAUAAUCAUUAAUAGCUUUAAUAGCUUAUGUUGAGUUUGAAUUUCUUGCACUGAUA